UCUUGUCCUGUAAUGUUAUUAUGUUCACAUUAGGCAACACCUAUUAAAAAAACAAUAAUUAAAGCAAUUGAUUAAUUAAUAUUAUGAGGAGGAAAUCAUGCAUGCAGUCCAUUGAAAUGGUACAUCUCAUAUGUUUUUAUGAGGAACUCCAACAAGUUUUGUUCUCCCUAGCGAAAUCUAUAUGAUUAAAAAGACCGAAAAAGUAGUUAUUUUAAGUGACAUUUUUGGUUUUCUGGGAGACGGGGACUUUGCUGGUGAAUGCAAGCAGAGUUAUGUAGGAGGACUGGAAUGUAGGCAGAAAUGGAUAAAACAAUUCACCAACAUUACCAUCAAAGGUUGAACAAUGUAAUGUGGAGUCUAGCUCUUUAAGUACUACUGGCCUCAGCCUUACCUAAGAUCCUCAGUGCUAGAGAACAGGCUCAAAAACCAUAGAUUAAACUAAAUCUUAAUCUACGGUUUAGGAAAACUCAAAAGGAAGGAUUUAAUUUUCAUUUCUUCCAUAUUAGCAAGAGUUAUAGGGGGACAAGGGUUUGUAUGGCUGGUAAUUGACUUUAUAGAAAAGGUUCUGCAGGAGGCAUCUAUCCGAGGAAAAUAUUUUUCAGUAAUUAAUAAUGAGGGGGAAAUAAACACCUAACUACUUCAAUUGUCAGAUAAUGCGUAUGGGCUUGUUUUUACCUGUGUGCAUGAGAGAGAGGAAGAACCAUAAGUAGAACAAUCAUAAUGCUAAAUAUUUGCCGAGGAAUCUAGCUGCAAUUUCAGCCUCCCAAAUGAUGCAUCCUGCAUAAUCAAUAUCUCAAAAUUUAAUUUAUCUAUAUAAAGAUGAUAAUGUAAAUUUAAAGCAUUAUCUAAGUAUGCUACAGAUUGAUUGUUACUUUCUUAGAAGAAUAGAGAAAAUACAAACAAUCGAGUCCACCCACCCUAUAAUAAUUAGAGACUGUUUGUGAUUUAUGGUAUGAAGGAAAGGUUUAAAUUCGAAAAAUUACUUGAUGGUUUUAUUUUUUAAUCUUUUGAUUCGUUUCACAUUGUCAAAGCUAUGAGCAUGACCCUGGUAUUCAUAAAGUAGAAUCAUCUAUUUCGUAGCAAACCAAACAAUAUCAAUCUCAACAAGUCUCAGCAUGAACUCCCAGUUUUAACAGUCCUAAGGAUAAAAGAUAGGGAAAAAAAAUGUAACACUACAAGUCUACAAGGAGAAAAUACGAAGAUAAAAAUCAAAGUCAUCACAUACUUUUUCCAUGAGAAUUUUUUAGCUUAUUAUUAUGUUUACUUCAGUUAAGAAAACUUGUGUACUAGUUUUCAGUCUUCGUACCAUAAUGUGAAUACGUAUAACCAGUAUCCUCACCUUAACACCAUUAUGAUUAUACAAUCAGAAAUUACUAACAACUAUUUGUACAAAUUUCAAAUUGUUGAAAUUUUAGACGGCAAUAUCAUGGACGAAGGGAGAUUCUCUCCUCUGAUUGUGCACCAUAAAAUACAAAUAUGACUACCAAUUAUAUACUAAUCAUAAUAAUAAGGUCGUAUGCUAGAAGCAAGUCUGAACAAGGUUAGUAAAUUCCAAAUUUGCAAACAUAAACCAAAGCAGUUAGUUAUGUGAGUGUUGUUUUUGAAUUGGGAGGAAAGAGUUAAUUAGGUUACUGCCAAUUGUAUCUAGAGUACACAGAUUUUUUUUUUAAAAAAAAAACAAAGGCAAAGAGAGAGAUAGAGAGGGGGGGAGGGAGGGAGGGAGGGAGGGAAAAGAAAAAAGAGCAUGAGAGUAAUUUAUGUCAGUCACAUAAAAAAGGAAACAACUAAAACCAUAUACAUUUAUCUUAAUCCUUUUCUUAAAAUAAGAUAAAGUCGCAAUCCUCCGAGAGUACUUUAUGUAAAAUAUGCAUUUCUAUCCUUAACAUCAAUCCUUACUAAAGUUGUUGGCACUUCAAUUCUUACUGAUUCAAAAAUAAAGAACAAGUUCAGUUCGCACCUCAUACACCAGAUUUUAUCACCCCGAUUCAACCACCAAUUAAAUUAAAUAUUGGGUUUGGAAUUUAAUGCCUUUUAAGAUCAACGAAAAUAUACCUGCAGCGAAAUUCGAGAAGUCUACAACGAUAACACUUGAGACAAUUCAGCACCUCAGCUAAGAAUAUCCUAUACACUUAUCAUGAGUGCAGCAC
rnacentral:lncRNA from 1 species